rnacentral:rRNA from 1 species
GUGAGGAAUAUUGCGCAAUGGAGGCAACUCUGACGCAGCCAUGCCGCGUGCAGGAAGAAGGCGCUACGCGUUGUAAACUGCUUUUAACCGGGAAGAAACCCCAGGACGUGUCCUGGGUUGACGGUACCGGAGGAAUAAGCACCGGCUAACUUCGUGCCAGCAGCCGCGGUAAUACGAAGGGUGCAAGCGUUAUCCGGAUUCAUUGGGUUUAAAGGGUGCGUAGACGGAGCGUUAAGUCAGUGGUGAAAUCCUGCAGCUUAACUGUAGACUUGCCAUUGAUACUGGCGCUCUUGAGUGCGCUUGAAGUGGGCGGAAUGUGCCGUGUAGCGGUGAAAUGCUUAGAUAUGGCACAGAACACCAAUUGCGAAGGCAGCUCACUAAGGCGAUACUGACGCUGAGGCACGAAAGCGUGGGGAUCGAACAGGAUUAGAUACCCUAGUAGUCC